UCGUCUUCAAAAACGGGAAUUUGGUUGUA
rnacentral:sRNA from 1 species